ensembl:lncRNA
GGUCACCAAAACUCCCGCAGGCCUUUCCCCGGGGAGACUGGGGGCCUGUUACCAGCAGUCGCCGCCCAGCCUUGACUGCCUGGGUGAAUCAGGUGCUAAUCAGAGCCUUGGGCUUGGCAGCUCCCCUGUCUGGGUUUUCUGAGUGCGCCCGAUUUAGGCUGGGUGGGGGGAUUCCUACGGCCCUGCCCCACCCACGAAGACCGAGAAGGCUCACCCGGUGGCGAAAGGUGGGCUCGGUGACUCAUCUCUGAGAUGACCUCACCUCCCGACCCCAGCGGAGCAGAUGUCCGGAUUUGAGACCUCAUACCGUGACUUUGGACGGCUAGUGCGUUCCCUUCUUCAGAUUAUAAACUGGCUCGAGUAGGUGCAUGGGUGUGUUGAUUCAAGUGCUUCUGGAAAGCCCCUUCCCUUGCUAAGCACCACGGUCAUGUCCACAUCGUGUUUCUGCCUGGAGUGGAAUACUCUCUAACACAACUGUGAAAAAGACAAAACAGCAAGCCUUAGGGAAUGGAGAGGAUCUACUUUCCAGAGCCACCAUGUAAUAAGGCUCAAAUAUCCAGGUGUCAACAACAACCAAUUACAAGGCAUAUAAGAAGCAGGAAAGUAUGACCCAUGCAGAGAGACAAACUAAAUGGACAGAAACGAUUCUUGAGGACGACCAAAUGCAGACUUACUAGACACAGACCUUAGAGCAGCUUUCUUAGAGAUGCUCAAGGGUUACAGGAAGACGUGGGCCAGUCAGGAAAAGC